CUGGUACAGUGUACUUGCAUCAGUAUCCAGACCUGUUUAUACCCAGGGUACGGUUGCCCGGAAUGUAACACUGUCGUAGCAGAAGCACAGAAAACAGUUGUGAUAUUUCUUCUUGUCCCCGACAAUAUUUGGAUGUAUAUCAAAAGCAAGAUCUGUAAACGUAGAGGCGUAUACAACUUACAGGUCAUCACGUUACACAACGAAGUGUGGGUUUUGGAAGUGGGGCCGGUGCACAAGA